rnacentral:rRNA from 1 species
UACGUAGGGCGCAAGCGUUAUCCGGAAUUAUUGGGCGUAAAGAGUUCGUAGGCGGUCCGUCAAGUGGGGUGUGAAAGCCCUCGGCUCAACCGAGGAAUUGCGCUCCAAACUGUCGGGCUCGAGGGAGAUAGAGGUGAGCGGAACUGAUGGUGGAGCGGUGAAAUGCGUUGAUAUCAUCAGGAACACCAGAGGCGAAGGCGGCUCACUGGGUCUCUUCUGACGCUGAGGAACGAAAGCUAGGGGAGCGAACGGG